ensembl:lncRNA
ACCCUGGUUUCAGUAGCACCAUUUUUUUAAAGCAAAUGAACUUCUUUGUGAGUGCUGCAGAACAAGGGCUCAGGAGUGAGUCAGGUCCCUGAUCCAGGUACAGCUGUCAUCGUCCUACAUCCUUCCAGCCUCUGAGCACCUUCGGUGUAGGAAGCCCAUUAUUCAAAGUAAAAAUGUUCACAGCCACCUUCGAAGGCUCCUGGGGACAGAGAACACAGCACAUCGUAACAACAGCAACAGACUCAGCUGCGAAAGAUCUCUAUCACACAUCAGAGAGAAUUUGAGGCAGCUGGCAGUUAUCAGCUGAAGCAGUCUUUUUCUAUGCUGUGAUCCAGAUUUAACAAGAAAAAUGAAGAAUAACUUGUUCAGCUCAGUAUCCAGCCACAUAACUCUCUGUUACGGAGGCAUUCAUGUGGGAGGUAUAAACAAAGGUUCUGGACCAAUAGAAAAAAAAAAUCAAUUUGUUGGAGAUCAAAGUAUUGUGUGGCCUUGCACAAACAAUUUUCUUAGAACACAGGUAAGAAAAAGUAAAGGAGAUGGGCUAGUCGAGACGAGCCUGCUGAGAAAGUCAAGUAUUUCUUUCUACUGGAGUGUUAGAAUGUCCAGCUGUGCUGUGUACCUUCAGUUUACUUUUCAGUUAACCUCAGAGGAAUUAAAUCUUAAAUUUCUCUUAUCUUAACUGCCAUUAUAAAUGAUUUUAUAAGGACUAGAACAAUUCUGGCAGAAGUAACUUAAGUGUCAUCUUCCCUCUUGUCUGCAUUACCCUCAGAAUAUCUAUAACCUUGGGAGGAUGAAUUCAUUUAAAAUAUAAAAGAAACUGAUUCAGAUUCCUGCCCUCAAACAGAAAGGGAACAGAUCUGAGUUCAGAAAAUACCGUAAUAGGUGUGGAGCAUGCUAAGGAUGGAAAAUCUAUGGCUAAGAUAUCUGUAUGUUGGAGACACUGUUUUGUGUAAGAUGUCAUUACUGAGACAGAGAAAGCAAUUGCUUGUUUUGGGUUCAGGGAACCUUUCAGGAGCCACUGGAUUUAUAAGCACUAAUAUAAAACAGCUCAGUGAAAGUUAAAUAUGACCUCCUAUUUCUGCUUCAUAUUAUACUUCUGCUUCCUCUUGAAGUUGGGCUGCUAACCGAGGAUCUAGGAGAAAGUUGGGAAUGUAAGCAGGGACUGCCAAAUCUUGUAUAAAUAUCAGGAGCAUUAGUUUGAACACCUAUAAUGAUAACUCUACAUUUAUGUGUAAUGAAAUUUUCAAAAUUCUGGUAAUGUACACAUUUGUCUAGCACUUACAUCAUUUUGAAGUGACUGGAAAUGCAUUUAUUGAGGAAUUUACACUUGUAUCAUCAACCUUGCCAUCAUCUCUCCUCACCUCUGCUCAUAUGACAACAGCUUUAACUGCAGUCUUUCAAUGGAUAAGGAUGGAACAGAAUUAAGGGAUACUAUUGGGAAAACUUGGCACAAUGGAUAUGUUCAGUAUAGGACAGGUUUAAUUUUGCAUUGUGUUACUAAAUUACUGCAGUUACAGGAGGGGGGAGAGGAGCUAUUUCUUGUUUCUCAAAUUUACCAAAUGCUGGAAAUACAGUUUGUUUGUUUGUUUUCUUCAAGAAUUAACAUGCUUAUAUGAAGAUUUAAAAAAAAAAAAAGUUAAGAUGCUGUUGCAUUGCAAAUUUGAAACAUGCCUGUAUGAACAAGGACAAUUUGACAACAUGGCCAUCAUCCAUUCUUCUGUUCAUGAGGUUUAGUGACUUCCCUGACUGUUAUUUCCAUGUCAUGUCUCUGUGUAUUUCAUAGACUGAGUUAAGAGAUCUCAGUCAGAAUUUCAACAGGUUCUGUUCCCUACCACAUUAAUACUUACUCAAUACAAAACUCUCCCUUCUCUCUGUCCCACCUACACACACACACACAGAGAGAGAAAAUUAAGGAUAGGCAUUUUUGCAUAACCUGAUGGUUUAGAACUUUGUAGAUGGAAUUAGAGCCUGGUUUAGAUCAAAAUGAGUAAGAGGUAUUAAGAGUUCAUUUCCAUCUAUAAUGUUAUAUAAAGAUAUUUGUUUGAACUAAAAGAACAGCUGAUUAUGCAGUUUCAAGGUUUCUAGGGAAGUCAUAAAAGUGCCUUAGUGAGAACUUAAAAUUUUGUUUAGAGGAAGUGUGCAUUCACAGCACCACUAGAGGUUUGUUCUUUAUAGAUCUCAGAAACAGGAUAUGAAAGGGUAUCUUAGGCAAUCAAGUUCAAUCUCCUGCUAUUGCUGUCUAUGUUGUUAUAAAAUAAACUUUUCUUCCCAGAAUUCCUCA